rnacentral:rRNA from 1 species
AUACGUAUGUCGCAAGCGUUAUCCGGAUUUAUUGGGCGUAAAGCGCGUCUAGGCGGCUUAGUAAGUCUGAUGUGAAAAUGCGGGGCUCAACCCCGUAUUGCGUUGGAAACUGCUAAACUAGAGUACUGGAGAGGUAGGCGGAACUACACGUGUAGAGGUGAAAUUCGUAGAUAUUUGUAGGAAUGCCGAUGGGGAAGCAAGACUACUGGACAGAUACUGACGCUAAAGCACGAAAGCGUAGGUAGCAAACAGGAUGAGAUGCCCUGGUAGUCCACGCCGUAAACGAUGAUUACUAGGUGUUGGGGGUCGAACCUCAGCGCCCAAGCUAACGCGAUAAGUAAUCCGCCCGGGGAGUACGUACGCAAGUGUGAAACUCAAAGGAAUUGACGGGG